rnacentral:rRNA from 1 species
CUCCGGUUGAUCCCGCCGGACCCGACUGCUAUCAGAGUGGGACUAAGCCAUGCGAGUCAACAUAGCAAUAUGUGGCAUACGGCUCAGUAACACGUAGUCAACAUGCCCAGGGGACGUGGAUAACCUCGGGAAACUGAGGAUAAACCGCGAUAGGUCAUCACUUCUGGAAUGGGUAAUGACUUAAAUCUAUAUGGCCCCUGGAUUGGACUGCGGCCGAUCAGGCUGUUGGUGAGGUAAUGGCCCACCAAACCUGUAACCGGUACGGGCUCUGAGAGGAGGAGCCCGGAGAUGGGCACUGAGACAAGGGCCCAGGCCCUAUGGGGCGCAGCAGGCGCGAAACCUCUGCAAUAGGCGAAAGCUUGACAGGGUUACUCUGAGUGAUUUCCGUUAAGGAGAUCUUUUGGCACCUCUAAAAAUGGUGCAGAAUAAGGGGUGGGCAAGUCUGGUGUCAGCCGCCGCGGUAAUACCAGCACCCCGAGUGGUCGGGACGUUUAUUGGGCCUAAAGCAUCCGUAGCCGGUUCUACAAGUCUUCCGUUAAAUCCACCUGCUUAACAGAUGGGCUGCGGAAGAUACUAUAGAGCUAGGAGGCGGGAGAGGCAAGCGGUACUCGAUGGGUAGGGGUAAAAUCCGUUGAUCCAUUGAAGACCACCAGUGGCGAAGGCGGCUUGCCAGAACGCGCUCGACGGUGAGGGAUGAAAGCUGGGGGAGCAAACCGGAUUAGAUACCCGGGUAGUCCCAGCUGUAAACGAUGCAGACUCGGUGAUGAGUUGGCUUAUUGCUAACUCAGUGCCGCAGGGAAGCCGUUAAGUUUGCCGCCUGGGGAGUACGGUCGCAAGUCUGAAACUUAAAGGAUUGGGCGGGGAGCA